rnacentral:rRNA from 1 species
AUUGAACGCUGGCGGCAUGCCUUACACAUGCAAGUCGAACGGCAGCACGGGAGCAAUCCUGGUGGCGAGUGGCGAACGGGUGAGUAAAGUAUCGGAACGUGCCCAGUCGUGGGGGAUAACGUAGCGAAAGUUACGCUAAUACCGCAUACGAUCUAUGGAUGAAAGCGGGGGAUCGCAAGACCUCGCGCGAUUGGAGCGGCCGAUAUCAGAGUAGGUAGUUGGCGGGGUAAAGGCUCACCAAGCCGACGAUCUCUAGCUGGUCUGAGAGGACGGCCAGCCACGCUGGGACUGGAACGCGGCCCAGACUCCUGCGGGAGGCAGAAGUGGGGAAUUUUGGAAAAUGCGCGGAAGCCUGAUCCAGCCAAGCCGCGUGCAGGAUGAAGGCCUUCGGGUUGUGAGCUGCUUUUGUACGGAACGAAAAGGUUUGGCCUAAUAAGCUGAGCUCAAGACGGUACCGUAAGAAUAAGCACCGGCUAACUACGUGCCAGCCGCCGCCGUAA